CUUUUCCGCCUGCAGCACUGCUCACAUCACCGGGACGAGCGACUGCUGUUGAAUGCUCGUUAAUAAAAUAUUAACUACUGGAGGGUUAAAUAUGGAAACGCUAAAGCCGCCCUGACUGAAUAAGCUCAUUUGUGGAAAUCAUGGUGUCCUUCAAUAUGAAUGAAUCCUGGAAGGAACUUCCAGCUUGAACAUAAGCUUCAGCAGGUAACCACCUAGAUAGAGGCUGUGAUUGGACCAGAUCAACCUCUGAUUACAUCAAAGACUAGGUGAUGUAGGAGGAAGAUUCAGUGAUGUCCUUGAUGAAAUGGACACACCCAGUGGUGAAAUGUCCUGGGAGGAAGAAGUCACUUUGUUCACUGGACUGCUAUUAUUGCUGACUUGUUUGACUGUAUAAAUAAAGCUACUUAUCAAAAGUU